GCUCGUGCCGGUGUGAUCCCGCGAAUCAUUUUUGUUCAUUUUACUGUAAAUACGCGGUGCCAGCGAGCCAUGGCGCCACAGCAAGUAUAACAAGUGCCAGAGAUUACUUGGGUGCCAUUCCUUUUCCGCGGGAAGGCUUAGAAAAGGAGGUAAAUGCGUAUUGUGGGGAGGAAGGGAAGAUGGCGGGGGAAGGGAAGAUCUUAACCCGAUGUGCCAACGUUAUUUUUCGUGUUUUCGUGCGAUUUACGUGUAUCCCAAAGUGCCGAGUGCGAGGAAAGGAAAGCAAAGGUGCCAGUGAUCUCAUAGUGGCAAUCCUAGCGUGUGGAAAAGCAUAUAAAAGGCUGGAAAUAAGAGAAAAGUGAAAGGGGGAAUGGCGGGAGUGAGUGUUAAUGGUGGAUUUUUCAAUUUACCUCGAAUUACGUGUUUGCCGGAGCGUGACGGUGCAGGGAAGGUGCCGGUGACCAAGUGGUGCUGGACGUGGUGAUGGAGAGAGUUAAGAAAGUAAAAGAGAAGAAGGUGAGAAAAGGCUUAGAAAUGUUUGUGUGCGUGUGUGCGUGCGUGUGUCUUCGCGGCUACGUAAUUAUAUAGGGUAAGAUUGAUCAAGUCCAUGUUAUCACCAAGUUUGUUAUCGCAAGAACAGGAAGAACAACAAGAUAAAGAAUUACAGCAUCUACGUCAAGGCUUGGAGUGUCGUGGCACAAGGACAGUCAAACACACAGGCACAAGAGUAGAGCAGGCCAGAAGUACCAUGCAAGGACGCGACAGAAAGGAGUAUGAACAUUCCCCCGAGCCUGCCAUGGGACCCCCUCCUCCUCCUCCUCCUCCUCCUCAUCGUCGCCCCAGGAUAAAGAGUGUGCAGUGUGCCGCAGGCAGACCAAGACGCCAGAGAUGUCCGUUCAGCCAUUCAAUUCUGUCGAGGGAAAGAAAUCGUGUUAGUCAACUCUGAUGACUUGUACUUUUCUCUGUGGACUCUGCUGUAAGCCAGUCACGGAAGAUGUGAACUGUAUCUGUACUAUGAAGUCUUAUAAAUAAACUUAAGGGCCACACCUAUGACUUUAUCUUGCCCCAAACCCAUUUAGCUAAUCUCCGGACACUUUUUUAGAUAUAAUUGACUUAGGUACAUUUUUCAGGCUACUUUUAAAGCAAGUUA